CGUCCAGCCCGCUCAGAAACUUAAAGGAAUUGACGGGGCCCGCACAAGCGGUGGAGCAUGUGGUUUAAUUCGAUGAUACGCGAGGAACCUUACCUGGGCUCAAAUGUAUGUUGACGUAUUCUGAAAGGGAUACUUCUUCGGACAAUAUACAAGGUGCUGCAUGGUUGUCGUCAGCUCGUGCCGUGAGGUGUCGGGUUAAGUCCCGCAACGAGCGCAACCCUUGUCUUAUGCUGCCAGCACGUGAUGGUGGGGACUCGUAAGAGACUGCCGGGGUCAACUCGGAGGAAGGUGGGGACGACGUCAAGUCAUCAUGCCCCUUAUGUCCAGGGCUUCACACAUGCUACAAUGGCCAGUACAGAGGGCUGCGAGACCGUGAGGUGGAGCGAAUCCCUUAAAGCUGGUCUCAGUUCGGAUCGGGGUCUGCAACUCGACCCCGUGAAGUCGGAGUCGCUAGUAAUCGCAGAUCAGCAACGCUGCGGUGAAUACGUUCCCGGGCCUU
rnacentral:rRNA from 1 species